rnacentral:misc_RNA from 1 species
UUAAGUUCAGCGGGUAGUCCUACCUGAUUUGAGGUCAAGCGUUUCAUAAGCUGUCCGAAGACGAUUGUAAGCGGACUGAGACCCAGGGCCCACGGCGCAACAUGAUUAUCACACCGAUGGCACAAAAGUCAAAGAAGACUCCGCUGCUGCAUUUAAAGAGGAGCCGACCCAAUCGAGGGCCAGCACGCUCCAAAGUCCAA